CCUACGGGUGGCAGCAGUGAGGAAUAUUGGUCAAUGGACGAGAGUCUGAACCAGCCAAGUAGCGUGAAGGAUGACUGCCCUAUGGGUUGUAAACUUCUUUUAUAUAGGAAUAAAAUGUUCCACGUGUGUGCUUUUGUAUGUACCAUACGAAUAAGGAUCGGCUAACUCCGUGCCAGCAGCCGCGGUAAUACGGAGGAUCCGAGCGUUAUCCGGAUUUAUUGGGUUUAAAGGGAGCGUAGGUGGAUUGUUAAGUCAGUUGUGAAAGUUUGCGGCUCAACCGUAAAAUUGCAGUUGAAACUGGCAGUCUUGAGUACAGUAGAGGUAGGCGGAAUUCGUGGUGUAGCGGUGAAAUGCUUAGAGAUCACGAAGAACUCCGAUUGCGAAGGCAGCUUACUGGACUGCAACUGACACUGAGGCUCGAAAGUGUGGGGAUCAAACAGGAUUAGAUACCCGAGUAGUC
rnacentral:rRNA from 1 species